rnacentral:tRNA from 1 species
AGUCAAUUGGUAAAGACAAUAAAUUGUGGAUUUAUUUAAAGCGGGUUCAAUUCCCGU